AUAUAAAUAUUUCAGGCGAAUGAGUAUUUGCCACUAAGCCUUUUUAAAAAGGAGACUUUCUUCUCGAAUACAAAGGAGAUAUGAUAACACGAGUAAAGCAUGCACGGCAAUUAGAAAAGGAGUAUGAAAAAGAGGGUCAAGGCAGCUUCAUGUACUUUUUAAAUACAGAGACAAAUCUUGCUGCAUUGACGCUACCAACGAUAUAUUUCAUGAGGGUCGAAUGAUAAAUGAUGUCGAAAAUGGAGACGCAAAACAAAAUUGUGUAAUGAAAAUAGUUGAAGUCAACUCCCCAUCUAUGCACUAUCGCCGACAGAGACAUUGCAAUUGGCGAGGAACUCCGAUAUGAUUAUGGAGUACCAACACUUCCAUGGAGAAAGAAAUGCACGGAGCAAAAAAUGGGCAACACAAUGACUACUAGAUCUACGGACAGCCAGGAACCAGGACAAACAACAUCCAUACACACGGAAGAAGUCAAUGAGACGAAAUGCACGGAACAAAAAAGGGCAACACAAUGACUACUAGAUCUACGGACAGCCAGGAACCAGGAAAAACAACAUCCGUACACACGGAAGAAGUCGAUGAGACGUAUAAGACUUAUACGCUGCCACAAAUUGACAAAUGACGAUGGAGAAUAAGAUGGAUGUUUAACAAAACUGGAAAAAGACCUGUGCCGUUAUUUUUACCGUACAGAGAUUAUUGCAAAACGAGGUCGAAUAUCUGCAGUACUGUAUCCAAGGCAGGUGAAAGAAAAUAUCGACCUCCUGAUACGCAGCAGAAAUUCUCUAACAAACUGUUUCAAAAGUAAAUAUCUUUUCGCAACAAAAUCUGCAUCAUCGCAUAUUCGUGGGACAGAUGUAUUACGUUCGAUUGCAAUUGACUGUGGAGCUGAACAUCCGGAAAGGCUUCGUUCUACAAAGUUAAGGAAACAUAUUGCCACAAUGACUCAGCUUUUUAACUUGUCUGAAAAUGAAUUAGACAUUCUAGCUAAAUUUUUUGGUCACGACAUUCGGGUACAUAGAGAAUUCUACAGAUUACCAGAUGGAACCAUGCAGGUUGCCAAAGUCAGCAAGCUGCUCAUGAUGAUGGAAAGUGGACAAAUUACCAUAAAUUCUGUCAAUUCGCUAGACGAUAUUGAUGUUGACGACGAAUGUAUUGAAUAUGAACAAUAUUCUUCUGAAUCAUCAGAAAAUGAAAAUACUGAAUACCUUGAAACUCUUCUUCCCAGCACCAGUCAACAAGAAAUAACAGACAAAGAAAAGGGUACUUCAAAUACCAGGAGAACAAAACAAGCAGCCAAAAAGCAAUGGAGUGAAAACGAAAAAGGAGCUGUUCACAGACACUUUGAUCGUUUUUUUGAUAAUGGGUAAAUUACCAGGGAAAAAAGAAAUACUUGCGUGUAUUGAAAGUGAGAAUGACCUUCACAACAGAAGUUGGAAAAAUGUCAAAGACGUUUGCAGAAAUUUAAUUGAAACAAAAAAGCGACGGGGACUUUUAACUCAAAAAAAUAUUACACAUAUAAUGCACGUUUAGGAGAAUACGUUAAAGGAUGAAGUUGCUACAUGUGUUUUGUGUGUUUUCUUGUUCUAUAUACUCUUUUCGAAAACGAUAUAUGUGUGCUUAUUGUUUUUUAAUGUUUUAUUAAUACGGUUCAGUCAAAAACGAUAUUUGUUCAUAAUCAUAUCGCCGAACAAAUUAGGAUUGGUAUAUAGUUCGGCCAAAGAGUGUUUCUUUGUACUUUCUAUUACGAGUUUCUACGAGUUACUCACUAUACAAGUUAUUUUUUACCCUAAACUUGGUGAAUAUGAAUGAAUAUAGCAAACAUGAUAACAAAUCAAUCUAGAAGGCUAAACGUUCAGAGAAGGCACAAAAAAAUUCAGUCGGAUAAAUGGAAACAAACAUUUUGUUCAAGCAUAACAAACAAAAACUUUAAGAUUUAAUAAGAUAAAUGUAAAUAACAUAAAAAAACUACUGCUAAACUACUGCUACAAUGUGAUAAAUACAAAUGAAUAUUUUGUCAAUUUUACAAAAUUUGUUUUGAAUGACAGGUGUCUGACUUGCAGUUGAGUACUUAAUAGUUAUUUUAAAGUAAAAAUUUACCAAAAUGUAAAUUAUUGCGUAAGUAUUGCACUAGAAUUGAUUAAAUGGUUGUUAAAUAUUACAAUAAUUUCCUACACAGAUUUUUGUGCAUUUGUU